rnacentral:sRNA from 1 species
GCCGGGCAUGGUGGCACAUGCCUGUAAUCUCAGCAACUUGAGAGGCCAAAGCAGGAGGAUUCCAAGUUCAAGGCUAGCCUGGGCAAUUUGUGAGACCCUGUCUUAC